ACCUGGCGGCGGGUCUACACAUGCAAGUCGAGGGACGAACCAGGUGCUUGCACCUGGGGAAACCGGCGAACGGGUGAGUAACACGUGAGGAACCUGCCCUGUACACCGGGAUAACUACGGGAAACCGUGGCUAAUACCGGAUGCUCCAUCGUGAUCGCAUGAUCGUGAUGGGAAAGCUCAGGCGGUACAGGAGGGCCUCGCGGCGUAUCAGCUUGUUGGUGAGGUAACGGCUCACCAAGGCAACGACGCGUAGCUGGAGUGAGAGCUCGAACAGCCACACUGGGACUGAGACACGGCCCAGACUCCUACGGGAGGCAGCAGUAGGGAAUAUUGGGCAAUGGUCGCAAGACUGACCCAGCCAUGCCGCGUGCAGGAAGAAGGCGUUACGCGUUGUAAACUGCUUUUAUCUGGGAAGAAAAAGUUCCUGCGGGAAAAAUUGCCGGUACCAGAUGAAUAAGCACCGGCUAACUCCGUGCCAGCAGCCGCGGUAAUACGGAGGGUGCAAGCGUUGUCCGGAUUUAUUGGGUUUAAAGGGUGCGCAGGCGGCCAUAUAAGUCAGCGGUGAAAUACUCCGGCUCAACCGGAGGGGUGCCGUUGAUACUGUUUGGCUUGAGUGCGGUCAACGUACAUGGAAUUUAUGGUGUAGCGGUGAAAUGCAUAGAUACCAUAAGGAACACCGAUAGCGAAGGCAUUGUACGGGGCCGUAACUGACGCUGAGGCACGAAAGCGUGGGUAGCGAACAGGAUUAGAUACCCUGGUAGUCCACGCCGUAAACGAUGAUCACUCGCUGUUAUGCCUCUUAUGGUG
rnacentral:rRNA from 1 species